UGGAUCAUCUACCUCUUAGUGGGGAAGUAACUACUGGGAAACCGGAGCUAAUACCGCAUAAGCCUGGAAAGGGAAAGCAGCAAUGCGCUGAGAGAGGAGUCCGCGGCCGAUUAGCUAGUUGGCAGGGUAAAAGCCUACCAAGGCAUUGAUCGGUAGCCGGCCUGAGAGGGCACACGGCCACACUGGCACUGAAACACGGGCCAG
rnacentral:rRNA from 1 species